rnacentral:rRNA from 1 species
GGGGAAUAUUGCGCAAUGGGCGAAAGCCUGACGCAGCAACGCCGCGUGCGGGAUGAAGGCCUUCGGGUUGUAAACCGCUUUCAGCAGGGAAGAAGCGAAAGUGACGGUACCUGCAGAAGAAGCACCGGCUAACUACGUGCCAGCAGCCGCGGUAAUACGUAGGGUGCAAGCGUUGUCCGGAUUUAUUGGGCGUAAAGAGCUCGUAGGCGGUUUGUUACGUCGGAUGUGAAAUCCUGGAGCUUAACUCCGGGCCUGCAUUCGAUACGGGCAGACUCGAGUGUUGUAGGGGAGACUGGAACUCCUGGUGUAGCGGUGAAAUGCGCAGAUAUCAGGAAGAACACCGAUGGCGAAGGCAGGUCUCUGGGCAACUACUGACGCUGAGGAGCGAAAGCGUGGGGAGCAAAC